ensembl:lncRNA
UAAGUAUUUGUAUAUCUAUUUAUUCAGAUGAAAAAAAUCAAGGCUUAAUUUAAGUAACUUGUCCAAGGUCAAGGAAUUGGCAAGUGGCUGAGCUGGAAUUCAGCAUCUCAGACAUCUUCCUUUGAAUCCUUGCCUUCCUUGUGAAUUUCAGAUGACAAGCAUGACGGUUGCAUGAUUAUGGGGUCACUGCAGGCCUGUCCUGCCCUGAGGGACCAAGGAUCAGAAGGGCAAAACCAACCCGCUCAGCUAGUGAAGUGAAAUGGACAUGGUCUAUUCCUGGUUUACCCUCCGCUGGCCUUCAGGAGGUUUCUGAAUGCACCAGGGUCCUAGAGAAGCAGCAACCGCUGGACUGUAUUGCCAGGUAGCCAGCAGCAUGGGGCCCUGGAAGAGGCUGGAGGAUACUGUGCUGUCACUGAGACACCUGCCUCAGGUCCUCCAUCUCAGCCAUUGCCCACGAACACAGCUCCACAGCCAGAAUGACCCAGCCACAGAAAUGCCAGCAAAAAACACCCUGGCUCCCCACAUCCCAUGGUAAAGCUCCAAAUGCUUGGAGCACACACAAGACCUGACUCCAGGUCACCUUCUCUACUGGGACAGAAAGGGUGCCCUGGGGCUGGGGAAGGGCCUGGGGCUGGCACAGUCAGGCUGUAUUUGGGUCAUUUUCCAGGAGGUCUGGGUUAUUUCUAACACUCUCUCCUCCAAGAAGACAACUUUGCCUCCUGCCCUUUGACAUUCUUUCUUCUUGUGGCAUCCAGCAUUUUCUCUGGUAACUGUUGUGGGUAUUUUUUGUAUUUGGGGAAACUAAAAAAUAUAGAAAACUGCAAAAAAGAAUUACAGUCACCAAUAUGCUUGCCACUCAGAAUCAGACCUAGCAGAGUUUUCCAUAUUGGCUUUUCUAGGCUUCUAUAUGCAUCUAUAUCUAAUCUGGAUCUAUGGCUGGAUCUAUGUCUGUAGCAUGUGUGUACCUGUAUCUUCAUCUCUUGUGCUUUUGAAGGGAAAGUACGUUACUCAAGUCCCCGGUGACCAGCACCCUCACUGUGACAUCAGAUGACAUGUCAAUUGCAACCCCAGUUGAGGUCACUCUUCUACAGGGGAUGUGUAUCCUUUCUACCUUUAAACAUGUUGUUAUAGACACGUUCGGAGGCAUAUAAAAUUUAUAAUUUGGGGGGCACACUGUCUACACAAGUGGGGUUGCGCUGCGCCCAUCAUCCUGCAAAGUGUUGUUUCAUUCAGUGGCAUAGUUUUGGGCUCUGUUGAGGUUGACACACAUGGAUGCUGUUUGUUCCAUUCAGAAACAGCCCAAGUGUCCAGGCCCUCAACUACACUGAUGCGUCCUGAAGGGAAGGGCUGAAGAGACCGCCCUGGGGUCCCCACCCACUACUGCAGCCAGACCUUCUGGGGCUGCCUUCCCUGGGGAGCCUCGAGCAGAUGCUGAAUGAGCUCCAGGGACUGAGGGCCACUGGACAGCUGCCCCCACAUGCCCCCAGCCCACACCACAUCACAGAGUGCUCCCACCAUACACAGAGUGCUCCCAUCAUUCACAGAGUGCUCCCACCAUUCACAGAGUGCUCCCAUCAUUCACUGGGCAACAACAGGAGGACAUAGAUGGAAGAAAAACCUGCUCCUCAGGACGGAGGCCACAGGGUGACCCUGCUCCCAGCGAGGGAGGUUUGGGCCUGGGGCUUCAGGUCCUCCGGAAGCUCCCUCAGCCCUGCAGGCCUCCUGAUGCCAACACGACUCUGCCGCAUAGGGGGCCAGGGCAGCCACUUCCUGGCUCUGCCUGUUUGGCCAAGUGGCCUUGAGGAAGCCUUGCUCUCUGUCCCCAACACUCCAUGGGACUUUCAGUGCCCAGUGGAUGCCUGACAAGCCUGACAUCUGCUGGGGACCAAGGGCUGUUUAUCCUUCCCGGGAACUGGAGAGCCAAGGGUCAACACAGCCAGGAGCCUGCCCCCAGGCCAGGACUCUUGUGGGUGGUGUAGACACCCCCCAGCUCUGGCCCUCAAGGGAGAUGUGAGCCGUGUGCUUUCUCUCUCCUGUUCUCCCUGAGGAACGCAGGGCCAGCUGCCCACUGUGGCGGCAGCUCGGGCCCAGUCACACUCCUUCACGGGUGAUCUCCCUCCCCUGAGGGGCUCCCCUCCACCUCCCAGACAAGCUGCUGGUGCCCAGAUUCCUGUCUCAGGGUUUGCUUAUGCAGGAUCUCGAACUCAGAACCCGUCC